GAGGGUGCGAGCGUUAAUCGGAAUUACUGGGCGUAAAGGGCGCGUAGGCGGUUUAUUGGGUGUGAUGUGAAAGCCUUGGGCUUAACCUGAGAAGUGCAUCGCAAACUAAUAGACUGGAGUAGAUGAGAGGGUGGCGGAAUUUCCGGUGUAGCGGUGAAAUGCGUAGAGAUCGGAAGGAACGUCAAUGGCGAAGGCAGCCACCUGGCAUCAUACUGACGCUGAGGCGCGAGAGCGUGGGGAGCGAACAGGAUUAGAUACCCUGGUAGUCCACGCUGUAAACGAUGAGGACUAGAUGUUGCGAGGGGAACCUUGCAGUAUCGAAGCUAACGCGAUAAGUCUUCCGCCUGGGAAGUACGGCCGCAAGGUUG
rnacentral:rRNA from 1 species